rnacentral:tRNA from 2 species
GCGGGUGUAGUUUAAUGGUAGAGCUUCAGCCUUCCAAGCUGAUAACGUGGGUUCGAUUCCCAUCACCCGCUCCA